rnacentral:snRNA from 1 species
CUAUGUAUAACUCAAACGCAUU